rnacentral:rRNA from 1 species
ACGGAGGGUACGAGCGUUAAUCGGAAUAACUGGGCGUAAAGCGAGCGUAGGCGGUUUGGUCAGUCGGAUGUGAAAGCCCCGGGCUUAACCUGGGAAUUGCAUUCGAUACUGCCAAACUAGAGUAUGGGAGAGGGAAGUGGAAUUUCUAGUGUAGCGGUGAAAUGCGUAGAUAUUAGAAGGAACACCAGUGGCGAAGGCGGCUUCCUGGCCCAAUACUGACGCUGAGGCUCGAAAGCGUGGGGAGCAAACAGG